rnacentral:misc_RNA from 1 species
AACAAGGUUUCCGUAGGUGAACCUUCGGAAGGAUCAUUAUCGAAAUGCAGCGGGGGCAGACAGCUCCAAGGCCGCCGGCCCCCGCGUACACGCAUUAUCCACCCUUGACUUUGAGCACCGUUUGUUUCCUCGGCGGGGACGCCCGCCAGCGAGGACCCCAUUGAACCCUUUGCAGUAGCAGUAUUUGUCUGAAAAAAAAAAACACAAAAAUCACAACUUUCAACAAUGGAUCUCUUGGUUCUGGCAUCGAUGAAGAACGCAGCGAAAUGCGAUAAGUAGUGUGAAUUGCAGAAUUCAGUGAAUCAUCGAAUCUUUGAACGCACAUUGCGCCCCUCGGUAUUCCUUGGGGCAUGCCUGUUCGAGCGUCAUUUAACCCUUCAAGCUCAGCUUGGUGUUGGGUGCUUGUCCCGCCUCCCGCGCGGCGACUCACCUCAAAGUCAUUGGCAGCCCGCACCCGCCGGCCAUGAGCGCAGCACAGUCGCGCUCCGGGCUCCGGCAGGGUCGGCUCCCCAUAAGCAACCCCCCAAAAUUGACCUCGGAUCAGGUAGGAUUACCCGCUGAACUUAAGCAUAUCAAUAA